rnacentral:rRNA from 1 species
CCUACGGGAGGCAGCAGUGAGGAAUAUUGGUCAAUGGGCGAGAGCCUGAACCAGCCAAGUCGCGUGAGGGAGUACUGCCCUAUGGGUUGUAAACCUCUUUUGUCGGGGAGCAAAAGCCGGACGUGUCCGGCUGUGAGAGUACCUGAAGAAAAAGCAUCGGCUAACUCCGUGCCAGCAGCCGCGGUAAUACGGAGGAUGCGAGCGUUAUCCGGAUUUAUUGGGUUUAAAGGGUGCGUAGGCGGGACCUUAAGUCAGCGGUAAAAUUGCGGUGCUCAACGCCGUAGAGCCGUUGAAACUGGGGUUCUUGAGUGAGCGAGAAGUAUGCGGAAUGCGUGGUGUAGCGGUGAAAUGCAUAGAUAUCACGCAGAACCCCGAUUGCGAAGGCAGCAUACCGGCGCUCAACUGACGCUGAGGCACGAAAGUGCGGGUAUCGAACAGGAUUAGAUACCCUAGUAGUC